rnacentral:rRNA from 1 species
GAAACGACUGCUAAGACUGGAUAGGUAACAAAAAGGCAUCUUUUUGUUUUUAAAAGACCUUCUUAUGAAGGUAUGCUUAAAGAGGGGCUUGCGCCACAUUAGUUAGUUGGUAGGGUAAAAGCCUACCAAGACGAUGAUGUGUAGCUGGACUGGGAGGUUGAGCAGCCACAUUGGGACUGAGACACGGCCCAAACUCCUACGGGAGGCAGCAGUAGGGAAUUUUCGGCAAUGGAGGAAACUCUGACCGAGCAACGCCGCGUGAACGAUGAAGUAUUUCGGUAUGUAAAGUUCUUUUAUUGAAGAAGAAAAAGUAGUGGAAAAACUAUAUUGACGUUAUUCAAUGAAUAAGCCCCGGCUAACUAUGUGCCAGCAGCCGCGGUAAGACAUAGGGGGCGAGCGUUAUCCGGAAUUAUUGGGCGUAAAGGGUGCGUAGGCUGUUAGAUAAGUCUAUAAUUUAAUUUCAGUGCUUAACGCUGUCUUGUUAUAGAAACUGUCUUGACUAGAGUGAGAUAGAGGCAAGCGGAAUUCCAUGUGUAGCGGUAAAAUGUGUAAAUAUAUGGAGGGACACCAGAAGCGUAGGCGGCUUGCUGGGUCUUUACUGACGCUGAGGCACGAAAGCGUGGGUAGCAAACAGGAUUAGAUACCCUGGUAGUCCACGCCGUAAACGAUGAGUACUAAGUGUCGGGGUAAAACUCGGUACUGAAGUUAACAUAUUAAGUACUCCGCCUGAGUAGUACGUACGCAAGUAUGAAACUUAAAGGAAUUGACGGGACUCCGCACAAGCGGUGGAUCAUGUUGUUUAAUUCGAAGAUACACGAAAAAUCUUACCAGGUCUUGACAUAUUCUGCAAAGCUAUAGAAAUAUAGUGGAGGUUAUCAGGGAUACAGGUGGUGCAUGGUUGUCGUCAGUUCGUGUCGUGAGAUGUUAGGUUAAGUCCUAAAACGAGCGCAACCCUUGUCGUUAAUUGCCAGCACGUAAUGGUGGGGACUUUAGUGAGACUGCCAAUUAAACAUUGGAGGAAGGUGAGGAUUACGUCAAAUCAUCAUGCCCCUUAUGAUCUGGGCUACAAACGUGAUACAAUGGCUGUGACAAAGAGUAGCUGAAACGCGAGUUUUUAGCCAAUCUCAAAAAAGCAGUCUCAGUUCGGAUUGAAGUCUGUAACUCGACUUCAUGAAGUUGGAAUCGCUAGUAAUCGCGAAUCAGCAUGUCGCGGUGAAUACGUUCACGGGGUUUGUACACACCGCCCGUCA